AAUAAGAUUACUUACUACCCUUAGAUUGCAUGCACUGACUUCAAAAUCCAAUAACUCCUUCACUUCAACUUGGAAUCCAGUAAGUAGUAUGUGAAAAGUGUAGCUGCAAAAGUUCUCUCUUUAGGCACAAUCGCCAAUCCUCAAUUGCUAUCCGUACGCAUGCGUUAUGCCAAAAAGAGAGAUAAUAGCUCCCAAAUCAAUACCUUAACUUUGAACGCUUAUAUCUCUUUCAUAUAAACUCCAAACCAUACAAAACUUGCCUCAAAACCAUAGCCAAAAACUUAAACCUUCUGAUCCUAGCCUUCAAAGCUCAAAUGGCUUCGAAAAACUAACCCUAAUCUCUAAUAUGGCCUCAGGCAGCCUCUUCAAAGCACAUUGGUUAUGAUUUUUGAUCAAUAGGAAUAGAGAUUUUCAUCAUUCAUCUCCAUUCAUCUAUAUUGGUGCCUUAAUUACUCCCUUUGCUAUUGCAACCUUCCUUCAAUCCUUUUUCUUAUAAGAUUUAUAUAAUUUAUGUUCUAAACACCAAAUAAAAGAACCAAAAGAAGUUUUUCAAGGUCACCAAUGUCUAACAUAGGUAAUUCUAAAUAUUUAGAAGUUACUAUGAACUAAACCAAUCUUAAAAGCUACUAUCAAAAAAGAAAUUAAAGUUAUACAAAUUAUGUAAUAGUCUUUUUAAACAACCUCUUCUCAGAAUAAUAACCAACUUAUAAUCUAGAACCAACUAAAAUCUCCUAACAUAGCUCUUACCAUAUUACUUAAUAAAUUAUAUAUUAAGUACAUAAUUACAUUAUUUUCAUAUAGCAGCCAAACCACAGUACGACACUAUCAUUUUUGGGUAGCUUCUAUUGUUAAAAGAGUAGUAGCCCAAAUUUCAUCCAAUUCUUCUAAUUUUGCCAAUUGGUAGUAUACGGACUAUUUAUCACACA
rnacentral:lncRNA from 1 species